ensembl:snoRNA
UUUCUAUGAAGAUAACCAUGUCCAGUUCUGCUACUGAAUGACUGUGAUGAUAAUAGUGACUCUGAGAAA